GUGCUCCCCCCGGCAGCACGUAUAGUAACAUUGGAGUGAUACAGUGAUGAGCAUGGCCCCUGGGCAAGGGUGACAUGCAGAUUCGUGAAGCGUUCCAUAUUUUU
ensembl:snRNA U6 U6 spliceosomal RNA